CCCUGCAAAUAUAGAAUAUUUGAUUUUGGUCUUUGGUAUUUUGUUUUAAUCCUUGUAAAAUAUGAAAUUAGUCCCUAUAAUAUUCAUUUUAAUCCUCAUUUUGAGGGACUAGAAUCAAAUAUUCUACAUAUUACAAGGACCAAAUUCAAUAUGAAUCAAUUUUACAAGGACUAAAACAAAAUAUCAAGGACCACAACCAAUUUUUUUAUAUUUGCAGGGA
rfam:Medicago truncatula strain A17 chromosome 7, whole genome shotgun sequence.